rnacentral:rRNA from 1 species
AUGCCGCAAACGACAGCCUCGGCGCCCGCGAAGGCGGCACCCAACCGCGGCGCGGCGCGGAAGACUGAGGCGACGCCGCGCCCUCGGCUUGCAUCCGUCCAGCGGCGCCCGAGGCAACGGCACUCGGCUGGCCCUCCGGCCCCGGAGGCAGCGGCGCCCUUCGGCGUGGCUCCCACAGCGGAGACGACGACGCUCCCACGGUCGCGGCCCUGGCCGGUGUGCCAAAACAGCGGCGGGCGGUUACAGGAUUUCUCCUGGUCGAAAGCGCUCGGAAGUAAAGAGAUAGGAACCUUAUCUCUUCGCAAGUUUUGCAUUUCAGCCUUUUGGCUUCACCUAUUUCCGAAAUAG